rnacentral:rRNA from 1 species
GGGUCAGUAGGUUGGUCGUGCCACCGGUACGUACUGGUCUCACUGAUUCCUCCUUCCUGAAGAACCGUAAUGCCAUUAAUUUGGUGUUGCGGGGAAACAGGACUGUUACUUUGAAAAAAUUAGAGUGUUUAAGGCAAGCUAACGCUUGAAUACAUUAGCAUGGAAUAAUGAAAUAGGACGAUCGAUCCCAUUUUGUUGGUUUCUAGGAUUGACGUA